GGAUUCUGGGAAAUGUAGUAAAGACAGGAGUUGCCAUGUGAUCCUGGCAAGAGAGGACAGGUGCCAGCGUCCUUGGUAAGGUGCUGAAUAUAAUAACAUUCCCAGAGCCCCUGAUCCUGGGAGAGCAGUGUUGGCAGCGUUGUAAGGAAGAGACCAGCAAGGCAGGAGGACAUAGUUCCAAGUACUGGGGAUUUGCUUGCUUUCCAUGGACUCCUAUCUUGCGACAUCUUUCGUAUGACAGAGACAUGGAUUUGUUUCUUUGAGGAAUUCUUGUCAGCCAGGUAGAAGAACCAAGUUACAUUGUUUGCAGAAAAUGGACUCAACUACAGAUUAUCCUACCAGAAUGACUUUCUUCACCAGUCUUCAACAUCCUGACCAACCAUAGAAUAAGACAAGUUACUAAAUCACAGGAGUAUCUGGGAAUUUGAGGAGUUUGUACAGUCUGAGUGAAGCUGGUCAAUACUGUGACCUGAGGUCUCUCUUAAUUCAGCCUUGUAGAGGUGAAUGACCUGCCCAAGGUCACAGCAGUGGAGAUGCGAUACAAGAAGCCGUGCUCAGAGUGCUGUAUGCGAUGAUGCUGAAUUUCCUCCAGAUGGAAAAGUGAUGAUGGCAAUGUGGUCACCAGCGAUAGAGCUGAGAAAAUAUAAUCCCUCCUUUAUAUGAGGUACUUUUCUACAAAGGCAGAUGAAAACUGUAUCUGAUACAGAAGUCAUUUGACCAAUAAGCACAUUUGGAAAAGACUGACAGAUUCACAGUAUCAACUUCACACAGAAGUAACUGAGGACAUAGAGUGUUUCAGAAAGCAAACAACUUGAUCUCGGGGAAGUCUGCAGUUUCAAGGAAUGAAACAAACAUCAUCUUGGGAAAGGAGACUUGUCUAAACAAGUGCAAUCUGCUGUUUUAAAGGGAAAGGACUUGUUGGUGCAGCCUUUUACAGGAAAGCAUGCUGCCCCUUGAUAUCAUCGCAGUCUCCAAAGUCUUUGAAAUGAGGUCCCUGGCAAGCCUCUGUGGAGGAGAGAAGAAAGAGCAUGUGGAAUGUGAGAAACAGCCUUUCAAGAAGCCUGUGUCUCUGAUGGGAAUAACUCAAUCAUUUACCUGACAGGGAAGACAAGAAAUAGAGCUGGGCUCUGAGCUUAGGAGGAAAGCGAUCUGGGUGGCAAAGAUGUGGGUGUUGCAAGGGGCAUAGGUUGACUGCUUCCAGAAUCGGGCUGUUGUUGAGUUCAGGAAUGGGCCAGGGCACAUCAGAUUGGGGUUACCACAGUGGCUUCUCAGAAGAGGUUGGACUGUGGUGGCUGAUCAGAGAGAGGCUGAAGGUUAGAGGAAGGCGAUAACCACAGCACAAAGGUAGGAAAUACAAGGUCAUCAGGGAAUCAUACUUCAUAAGGAAAAGGCCUCAUGGGGAAGCUAUGACAGAUAUGUUUAGCGGGAAAGAUUGGGUUCAGAUGGCAAAAACGCCUUGACUGUCAAGCCUGCACACACAGAUACCAACUUUUAAAUAAAUCCUUUAACCAAG